rnacentral:rRNA from 1 species
GGAGGGGGCUAGCGUUGCUCGGAAUUACUGGGCGUAAAGGGCGCGCAGGCGGAACAUCAAGUCAGGCGUGAAAGCCCCGGGCUUAACCUGGGAAGUGCGCUUGAGACUGGUGAUCUAGAGUCCGGGAGAGGGUGGUGGAAUUCCCAGUGUAGAGGUGAAAUUCGUAGAUAUUGGGAAGAACACCAGUGGCGAAGGCGGCCACCUGGACCGGUACUGACGCUGAGGCGCGAAAGCGUGGGGAGCAAACAGGAUUAGAUACCCUGGUAGUCCACGCCGUAAACGAUGUGUGCUAGACGUCGGGCAGCAUGCUGUUCGGUGUCGCAGCUAACGCAUUAAGCACACCGCCUGGGAGUACGGCCGCAAGGUUA